rnacentral:lncRNA from 10 species
UUUGCUUAUUGCUGCCGGAGAAAAUCACAAAACUAUGCAGCUUAAGACUCUUUAAAUUCAUGGUCUCCAGCUUUAGCUGGAUUGUUGAUGCUGCCUGGGACUUCUUCUAGGUUUCCCAAACCUCCUCAGUGGACAUCUUUUCAACAAUUUGACUGUGAAGAUCAUGAGCACAUCAUCUUCUUUGUAUUUAUCCUGCCUGAAAAGAGCUUGGUAUUAUUACAUAUGAGGCUCAUGAAAGGAUGGAAAGGACCCUGGAAACCACUUUGGAAUACAGGUUUCUGAUGACUAGAAUCAUGUCAUUUGGACUGGGUAAAGAAAGCUUUUAUGGGUCACUGACUGAGGACAAUCAACCCCUUAACAACCUAGAACCUGAAGACUGGAUCUUCUGAGAACAUCAGAGAAAGACUGCUCUUGCCACCUGUACUGCAGCAUAACUUCAGGACCUGAACCUUGGGUUCAUAAUCUCAUAACCAAGAAGGGUCCCUCCAUACUCUUGGAACUGUACACCCAUUGGAAACCUUAAGGUGAAGCUAACCUGGGAAGUCUCUCCCCAGAAGAUGGCAUCCUUAAUGUGAACAGCUUCUCCUAAGAUCACAGAUCAGGACUUCUCUACUAUCAUGAGACUCUUAUCUUUGAAUAUUUGUUCUCUUGCUGAUGCCUCUAUGAAAAACAGAAGUGAAAGCGGGUCUUUUGUGUGAACUCAUGGGGUAUACUUUUAUUUGUGAAGGACUUUACAGCCAGCCUUAAACAUGGAUAACCUUAUACUUUGAUAAAUGAAAGAUGAAGACCCAAUGCAGGUUGUAAAUUUUAAUGGUACGUACUUUGCCUCAUAAUCAGUUAGAAACAGAACAUUUGUUUGCUCCUCUUAACCUACGUCAUGGGUUAAUGAGAACAUUGCCAGGAAGCGUUCACUCUUCUAGAAGGACAUCAUUGUUAGGUCCUUUUCCAUGGUUUGGAGUAAAAGAUGCAAUGAUUAGAAAUAUAUUCCUCAUGAUAGUCUCUAUAGCAGAUUCUACUGUAAAGGUUAUGGUUACACAACAGACUUUAAAUUAUCUUGUGAAUAUUAUGCUAAAUAAUAGAAUUACUCUAGAUUACUUACUGGCUAAGCGGGAAACCAUCUCUGCAGCUGCUGGCACUUGUGGCCUAUGGAGAAAUACAUCACGUUAGGUAUUAUAGAGAUUCAGUUGUAGGGGAUUAAUGCAGAGACUGCUUAGUUAAGCAAGUGGAUUCUUUAGCUCAUUCUUUGAUCUAUUUAAUUGUAAGUGGUUUUGUUUACGGGGACCCUGGGUAAGGACCAUACUCCAAAUAUUAUCCUCCUGACAGCCAUAAUGGUAGUUCCCCAGUGUGCUGUAUUCUCUCAAAAGUUUUAAAUGUUUGCAUUCAGCCAUACCUAGAAUGUCAAAUGGUCUCUCUUUAACUGGAAUGAAAAGAGAUGAAAGAACUGUGUGACCAGGAGGGCACUGUAACCUAUGAAUGACAUGCUGAGACUGGACACCCAAAAUGAUGGUAACUAAGAGUAGCACUAAGGCCCUAAGUUUUGGUCACACUCUCACCUAAGUGAGAAGCUGACCAAAAAGGGGGAAUAUCAAUAUAUUUACUUUAAGUUCUGGAAUACAUGUGCAGAACGUGCAGGUUUGUUACAUAGGUACACGUGCCAUGGUGGUUUGCUGCACUGAUCAACCCGUAAUCUACAUUAGGUAUUUCUCCUAAUACCAUUUCUCACCUAGCCCCCCAACCCCUGACAGGCCCCAGUGUGUAAUGUUACCCUCCCUGUGUCCACGUGUUCUCAUUGUUCGACUCCCACUUAUGAGUGAGAAUAUGCGGUGUUUGGUUUUCUGUUCUUGUGUUAGUUUCCUGAGAAUGAUGAUUUCCAGCUUCAUCCAUGUCCCUGCAAAGGUCAUGAACUCAUCCUUUUUUAUGGCUGCAUAGUAUUCCAUGGUGUAUAUGUGCCACAUUUUCUUUAUUCAGUCUAUCAUUAAUGGGCAUUUGGAUUGGUUCCAAGUCUUUGCUAUUGUGAACAAUGUUGCAAUAAACAUACAUAUGCAUGUG